GACGAACGCUGGCGACGUGCCUAAUACAUGCAAGUAGAACGCUGAAGGAGGAGCUUGCUUCUCUGGAUGAGUUGCGAACGGGUGAGUAACGCGUAGGUAACCUGCCUGGUAGCGGGGGAUAACUAUUGGAAACGAUAGCUAAUACCGCAUAAUAGUAGAUGUUGCAUGACAUUUGCUUAAAAGGUGCAAUUGCAUCACUACCAGAUGGACCUGCGUUGUAUUAGCUAGUUGGUGGGGUAACGGCUCACCAAGGCGACGAUACAUAGCCGACCUGAGAGGGUGAUCGGCCACACUGGGACUGAGACACGGCCCAGACUCCUACGGGAGGCAGCAGUAGGGAAUCUUCGGCAAUGGACGGAAGUCUGACCGAGCAACGCCGCGUGAGUGAAGAAGGUUUUCGGAUCGUAAAGCUCUGUUGUAAGAGAAGAACGAGUGUGAGAGUGGAAAGUUCACACUGUGACGGUAUCUUACCAGAAAGGGACGGCUAACUACGUGCCAGCAGCCGCGGUAAUACGUAGGUCCCGAGCGUUGUCCGGAUUUAUUGGGCGUAAAGCGAGCGCAGGCGGUUAGAUAAGUCUGAAGUUAAAGGCUGUGGCUUAACCAUAGUACGCUUUGGAAACUGUUUAACUUGAGUGCAAGAGGGGAGAGUGGAAUUCCAUGUGUAGCGGUGAAAUGCGUAGAUAUAUGGAGGAACACCGGUGGCGAAAGCGGCUCUCUGGCUUGUAACUGACGCUGAGGCUCGAAAGCGUGGGGAGCAAACAGG
rnacentral:rRNA from 1 species